AAACUUUCAACAACGGAUCUCUUGGUUCUCGCAUCGAUGAAGAACGCAGCGAAACGCGAUAGUUAAUGUGAAUUGCAGAAUUCAGUGAAUCAUCGAGUCUUUGAACGCACAUUGCGCCCAUAGGUAUUCCUUUGGGCAUGUCUGUUUGAGC
rnacentral:rRNA from 1 species